rnacentral:rRNA from 1 species
AGGGUUUGAUCAUGGCUCAGAACGAACGCCGGCGGCAGGCCUAACACAUGCAAGUCGAGCGCAGUCCUUCGGGACCGAGCGGCGGACGGGUUAGUAACGCGUGGGAAUAUGCCCUUCACUACGGAAUAGCCUCGGGAAACUGAGAGUAAUACCGUAUACGCCCUUCGGGGGAAAGAUUUAUCGGUGAAGGAUUAGCCCGCGUAAGAUUAGAUAGUUGGUGGGGUAAUGGCCUACCAAGUCUACGAUCUUUAGCUGGUUUUAGAGGAUGAUCAGCAACACUGGGACUGAGACACGGCCCAGACUCCUACGGGAGGCAGCAGUGGGGAAUCUUGGACAAUGGGCGCAAGCCUGAUCCAGCCAUGCCGCGUGUGUGAUGAAGGCCUUAGGGUCGUAAAGCACUUUCGCCAGAGAUGAUAAUGACAGUAUCUGGUAAAGAAACCCCGGCUAACUCCGUGCCAGCAGCCGCGGUAAUACGGAGGGGGUUAGCGUUGUUCGGAAUUACUGGGCGUAAAGCGCACGUAGGCGGAUUAGUCAGUCAGAGGUGAAAUCCCAGGGCUCAACCCUGGAACUGCCUUUGAUACUGCUAGUCUUGAGUUCGAGAGAGGUGAGUGGAAUUCCGAGUGUAGAGGUGAAAUUCGUAGAUAUUCGGAGGAACACCAGUGGCGAAGGCGGCUCACUGGCUCGAUACUGACGCUGAGGUGCGAAAGUGUGGGGAGCNNCAGGAUUAGAUACCCUGGUAGUCCACACCGUAAACGAUGAAUGCCAGUCGUCGGGUAGUAUACUAUUCGGUGACACACCUAACGGAUUAAGCAUUCCGCCUGGGGAGUACGGUCGCAAGAUUAAAACUCAAAUGAAUUGACGG